CUGAACACACUGAUCACAUUUAGAGUUCAUAAAGCAUUACAAGUGAGACUACUGCAUAUUAUGCGCUUCCUUUUUUAAAAAAAUGAAAUAACUGUCAUAUUUUCCUGAAUCUAAUCAAGCCUCUAGUGUUAACUUCCUGUUUACAAAAGUCUGAGAGCUAGAGGAACAAGUCACAUGGCCACCACAGAAGUCCAAAAUGCAUGACACCGUAUAGGACACAUGACCCAGUUGCUUUAGCAAAUAACGGGAGGGAGGGAUACUCCUUAGAUGUAGAGCAACGUGAAUCUGGGUUCUGAUGGGAAGAAACCAACAGAAAAAAGUUCUGGAGGCCUGAGGUCUGAAGUGGAUUUGAAUGGGCUGAAACCACAGUGUCAGCUGGGCUGUACUUCCGCUAGAAGAUCCAGGGAAGAAUCCAUCCCUUGCCCCCUACAAGGAGUGGUGGUCACUAUCAACAGCUUCUGGUGGCACUACUGGCCUUGACUGAGAACCAUUGCAGGAAGAUUUGUCACAGUGAAGUUUGGAUGGAGUCCCCGCCCACUCUGUCUUAGGAUCCAAAUACCGACAUGCAUUUCAUAAUGUUGAUGGACAGCAGUCUACACUGAGUUGGAGCUCUACCUCCUCAGUUCUCUGCCACUCGCCUCUAUGUGACCUGGGCAAUUUGCUUUAUGAUUUUCUGCCUUAGUGCCUCCAUUUUGGGACUGGAAUGGAACCUGCCUCGAAGUUUUGAUGUGAGGAAUAGGUGCAAUUCAGGCCUGCCACGCUGGGUGUUGCUAUUCUAUGACACUCUCUUCCAUCAGAGGACUGUCUCUGCCAGGAUGUAAUAAGGUCAGUUCACAGAGUGGAAGGAAGAACUUCCAGAACGGGAGCUGGAACUCCUGUUUCUGCUGCCUUUCUCUCAUCUCUUCUGGUCUCUGCAUCUUUAUUUCCUCUCAGUGGGUGAGCUUUCUGUGAGGCCCAGGAGGCAAAGGGCCUCCCAUGCUGUUUCCAUUUUCAACAAUCAGGGAAGAGCCCAGAUGGGCCUGGCAUGAGUCAUGUUUUUAUUCUCAAAUCUCUCUCCAUCCAGGGGUAACCAGGUUCAUAUACCUGUGGCCAGGGGUGGAGGCAGGGUCCCCUGCCAGAAACAUUUGGAGGGGAAUCGGGACAUUAGCACAAUAUCCCCAGUUACCAUCACUUAGGCGGAUGUGGUAGUUGGUAUCAGCAUGAAAAACCCAUGAUCUUAGAAGGCAGGCAGCUGUGUAACCCUGAGAAAAGUUCUUCAUCUUAAUGAACCUUAAUUUCCUUAA